UACGUAGGGGGCAAGCGUUGUCCGGAAUCAUUGGGCGUAAAGAGCGCGUAGGCGGCCCUGUAAGUCCGCUGUGAAAGUCAAGGGCUCAACCCUUGAAUGCCGGUGGAUACUGCAGGGCUAGAGUCCGGAAGAGGCGAGUGGAAUUCCUGGUGUAGCGGUGAAAUGCGCAGAUAUCAGGAGGAACACCCGUGGCGAAGGCGGCUCUCUGGGACGGUACUGACGCUGAGACGCGAAAGCGUGGGGAGCGAACAGG
rnacentral:rRNA from 1 species